CUAGGGUAAAGGGAUGGAUUGUUUGCAUGUAUGGUUUGCAAAUGGGCUUGGGUUUAGGUCCAUUUCCUCAAGAUGGACAUGGCCCUUUGCGUAUGAUUGUUCUGGCAUACUGCUGCUCUGCAGUGUGCUUUGGUGUCCAUCGGAUCUCGAGAAGCUGUUCUGGGUGGCUGCACAGUUGAGUUCUGUCUGAGCAGGGCUGCAGAUGCUGCUCUGCUGAGUGCUCCCCUCUGAGGUCUUAGAGGAGAAAUGGGCUGAGCUCUUGCAGGCUGAACUCAUAGCAGCUGGUGCAACUCUGUGUUUUGGACCCCACACUGGAGUCUCCAGGGUCGGCUGACAGCAAGAGAACCCCUUGGAAGCACGAGGUCUUCAGGAGCCACAGGGACGGGUGUGGUGCAUGAGUAACGGACAGUGGGACAGAGCCAGAAGGGAUGCUGACAUGACAAAAUGGGGAAGUCUUUCAUACAUGGAUGAGGAGAAAUGGACAAGGAAAAAAUCUUCUUCCUUAAGUUUUGAAUAUAAGAGUCUUUCAAGAUGUGGCCAUGGGAAAAGCCAAGGCAGUCCAAGAAAAUGUGAAUUUGUGGGUGGCGUGUUCCUCUGUGGGCAGCUACUGGAUACUUUUCUUCAUGAAACUGAUCCUAUGGAAUAGUCACUAACUGGAAGAGCCUCCAGCCUUGUAAGGAAAUCUGGGAUGGAAGUCACUG
rnacentral:lncRNA from 1 species